GGAUGGAUGGCUGGGACAUGAUGGUCUGCUGAUUUCUUGUUCAAAGAUGACUUGUGGGAGCCUAGGCUAGGAUUCUAGCGUGUUCCUUUCUGGAUCGCCAAGGGAAGAGUUAUUAAGGAACCGGCACUCGCCAUAGGAGCUAUGGAUGUAUCAAUGAGGAGACGACUUUAACUCGUGUGCUGGGUAUAAAUAUGCAAGUGCUGACAUGGGCUGCAUUUUUCAAUUUUAUGGCCAAGUGACGUCUACAGCCGACUGAUAAAUGGAAGCUUUGAGGAGGGGGAUUGCACAGUCCAGCCUGGCAUGAAAGGAUCCCGAGGGAAGGUAGCGAUGGGCUAUGGAGUCAGCGGUGAAACCAAAGCUUAUUUAUCUUUG
rnacentral:lncRNA from 1 species